rnacentral:rRNA from 1 species
AUUGAACGCUGGCGGCAGGCUUAACACAUGCAAGUCGAACGAGUGGCGGACGGGUGAGUAAUGCUUGGGAAUCUAGCUUAUGGAGGGGGAUAAAUACGGGAAAGUGUAGCUAAUACCGCGUACUAUAGGAUGAUCCCAUAUGGGAUUAGCGGGUAGGUAAGGUAACGGCUUACAUAGGCGACGAUCUCUAGCUGGUCUGAGAGGAUGAUCAGCCACACUGGGACUGAGACACGGCCCAGACUCCUACGGGAGGCAGCAGUGGGGAAUAUUGCACAAUGGGCGCAAGCCUGAUGCAGCCAUGCCGCGUGUAUGAAGCAGGCCUUAGGGUUGUAAAGUACUUUCAGCGGGGAGGCGUUACCCGCAGAAGAAGCACCGGCUAACUCCGUGCCAGCAGCCGCGGUAAUUC